GUUUUCUCCCAGCUCUCUAUCUCGGCGUCCACAGGAGGUCCCUCUGCUCUCCACCCAUAGCAACCACAGCACAUGCACUGUGGUUGCUAUGGAAACUCCCUAGCCUUCGCUCUAGCACUGGCUAGGGGGUAUACUAACGGAGUGAAAUAACGUCACUCUGUUCCGACUCCGGCGCGCUGCAAAUGAAGCCAGCAUGCCGACGCCGCUAAGGAUACCUCAAGCGGCCUAAAUCAAAGAAGAGUCCAUGCGGAGCGAAGGAAGGCUGGAGGUGGGUGUUACAUGAAGAGUAACACCUACCAAGCAAAGCUGGAAUGGAGAGAAAGUGAGUAAAUUUAUAUAUUUUACAUUGAGU